rnacentral:rRNA from 1 species
AACGAACGCUGGCGGCAGGCCUAACACAUGCAAGUCGAGCGAGGACUUCGGUCCUAGCGGCGGACGGGUGAGUAACGCGUGGGAACGUGCCCUUUGCUUCGGAAUAGCCCUGGGACACUGGGAGUAAUACCGGAUGAGCCCUUUGGGGGAAAGAUUUAUCGGCGAAGGAUCGGCCCGCGUUGGAUUAGGUAGUUGGUGGGGUAAUGGCCUACGAAGCCGACGAUCCAUAGCUGGUUUGAGAGGAUGAUCAGCCACACUGGGACUGAGACACGGCCCAGACUCCUACGGGAGGCAGCAGUGGGGAAUCUUAGACAAUGGGGGAAACCCUGAUCGAGCCAUGCCGCGUGAGCGAUGAAGGCCUUAGGGUUGUAAAGCUCUUUCAGCUGGGAAGAUAAUGACGGUACCAGCAGAAGAAGCCCCGGCUAACUCCGUG